CCUACGGGUGGCAGCAGUGAGGAAUAUUGGUCAAUGGGCGCGAGCCUGAACCAGCCAAGUAGCGUGAAGGAUGACUGCCCUACGGGUUGUAAACUUCUUUUAUAAAGGAAUAAAGUGAGGCACGUGUGUCUUUUUGUAUGUACUUUAUGAAUAAGGAUCGGCUAACUCCGUGCCAGCAGCCGCGGUAAUACGGAGGAUCCGAGCGUUAUCCGGAUUUAUUGGGUUUAAAGGGAGCGUAGAUGGGCUGUUAAGUCAGUUGUGAAAGUUUGCGGCUCAACCGUAAAAUUGCAAUUGAUACUGGCAGCCUUGAGUAGAGUUGAGGUAUGCGGAAUGCGUGGUGUAGCGGUGAAAUGCUUAGAUAUCACGAAGAACUCCGAUUGCGAAGGCAGCUUACUAAACUGCCACUGACAUUGAGGCUCGAAAGUGUGGGUAUCAAACAGGAUUAGAUACCCCGGUAGUC
rnacentral:rRNA from 1 species